ensembl:lncRNA
UGAAAACUGAUUUUAUGGUUAUGUUUUGAGCAGUAUAUAGGCCUAAAACAAGAAUAUCUGUUUUCAUCGCAAGUUUUCAUUUCAUUUCAUGUCCCUUUGUAUUUUCCCACAGAUUGCGCUCAUUCAGGGUGUUUGGGGUGAGUGAUUUUAGCGUACUAUCCAUCCAUAAAAAUGCAGUUCAAUAUGUCCAACAACUAUGUUUUUAACUGUAUUAAUGGAUUUUUUUACUCUUUAUAGAACAAAACCAAACAUGUAUCAGUCGAGGAAAUUGUGGAGUCAGUAGAAUUCCUGAAAAAAAAACUCAUCAAAUUUGAUGAAAAUGUAACACAUAAAGACGGCUUUUGGGGACAGGUGUGCAAUGCACUUACCAUUCCAAACACCAAAAACAAUCGCUAUAGACUUCUAAGAGCAUUUCGUAAGGUGAGCACUUCUUUGUUUCAAUAACAGGUUUUCAAAACCAGACUCCUGACACAAAUAGUUAUUAAAAUUACAAUUAAAAUACAAUUACAACACACACACACACACACACACACACACACUUUUAUGUGUAAGUAUGUAUGUACAUAUAGAUUUCUCUUGUUGAUGACAGUCGACAGUGAUAGUUGUUAUAUUGUGUUUUUCAUCCAUCUUUUAAGGUUACAAAAUUUAUCAGUUACAUGCAGUUUUAUAUAUUUACUAGUGAAAUUAUAUAAUUUUCAUAUUCAUAGACAAAGUCAAAGCUUGACCUAUAUGUCUGAACCAGUUAGUCAACCUAUUUGGUACUGACAUCUGUUUCAUCUACAACUUCCUACGUUGUAAUAACAGUAUUUUCUGUCUUUCUAUAAAAGCAGCAGCCAGAAUCGUCCCCAUCUCCAGUGCCAUCCGAGGACAGUGGAAGUGCAUCAGGAGAUGAAAGACGCAAGUCUUCUGAACCACACCAGCCAGAAUCGUCCCCAUAUACAGUGCCAUCCGAGGACAGUGGAAGUGCUGCAGGAGAUGAAAGACGCAAGUCUUCUGAACCAGUUAGUCAAACUUUUGGCUACUCACAUCUGUUUCAAGUACGACUUCCUACGUUGUAAUAACAGUAUUUUCUGUCUUUCUAUAAAAGCAGCAGCCAGAAUCGUCCCCAUUUCCAGUGCCAUCCGCGGACAGUGGAAGUGCUGCAGGAGAUGAAAGUCGCGAGUCUCCAGACCAAGUGAGUUAUCACAGUUUGUGAUUUGUUUAAAACAGUUCAGGGUAUGUGAGGCCACUAGGCCUGUCUGGUAAUUGAAAGGUUCUGAUCCAAAUAACUUUGAUAUUCAGGAGAGUUUUUCACAGUGUCCUUUAGAAAGACAAGAGUCCACUUGAGGGUUAUAAUUAUUAUGGUUUCACAUAAUAAUAUAGGAGCAUUCUGUGAUUUCUCAAAGUCACAUUUUCUCAAAAUGUGGUUCCUGUGGCCCAGUGGUAGAGCAUUGUGUUAGCUGCGCAAAAGGUUGUGGGUUCAAUUCCCAGAGAACACACAUACUGGUAAAAAAAAUUUAUAGCCUGAAUGCACUGUAAGUCGCUUGGGAUAAUAGUGUCUGCUAAAUGUAAAAACAUUGUUGAACACUAUUAUUAUAUUUCAAGUCAACCCAAACAAACACAUCCUCCCUUCAUUGCUUCACCUUCAAAAGACAUGAACAUGUGAAGCAGUUGUUGAAUUAACUUUGUCACAGCAGAAGGGAAGCAAUAUAAUGCUUUGAAAAAACAAAGGGAACAUGACAAACAAAUGUCAAGGAACAACAAAAUAUGAUUACCCCCCCAUCCACUGUUCUGAUUGAACACAAUUUUUUUGUGCUGCACGUUCUGUAAAACAGCAUUUUUUACAUUUUGUUUUCUGCACCUUUUAAUUUUUGUAAAAAAUAUGCAGUAAAAUAAUAAUGUUAUUUUAUAACUAUAUUUUUGAAGUAUUUUUUUUUAUUUUUGUAAUGUCACUUUACAUAUUUGAUGUUCGAAUUACUACAAGUAUUUGUAUUCAGGUUUGACAAUAUUAAUAACACAAAAACUAUUUUAGAAUUACACUACAUAGUUUUGUUUGGAAUAUAGAUUGGAACCAUAAAUUGUACCCCAAAUACAAAUUAAUAAAGAAGAAAUUGUUAUUGAAAUUUAGCGCA